rnacentral:rRNA from 1 species
AUUGAACGCUGGCGGCAGGCCUAACACAUGCAAGUCGAGCGGCAGCGGGAAAGUAGCUUGCUACUUUUGCCGGCGAGCGGCGGACGGGUGAGUAAUGCCUGGGAAAUUGCCCAGUCGAGGGGGAUAACAGUUGGAAACGACUGCUAAUACCGCAUGCGCCCUACGGGGGAAAGCAGGGGACCUUCGGGCCUUGCGCGAUUGGAUAAGCCCAGGUGGGAUUAGCUAGUUGGUGAGGUAAUGGCUCACCAAGGCGACGAUCCCUAGCUGGUCUGGGAGGAUGAUCAGCCAUACUGGAACUGAGACACGGUCCAGACUCCUACGGGAGGCAGCCGUGGGGAAUAUUGCACAAUGGGGGAAACCCUGAUGCAGCCAUGCCGCGUGUGUGAAGAAGGCCUUCGGGUUGUAAAGCACUUUCAGCGAGGAGGAAAGGUUGAUGCCUAAUACGCAUCAACUGUGACGUUAUUCGCAGAAGAAGCACCGGCUAACUCCGUGCCAGCCGCCGCCGUAA